rnacentral:rRNA from 1 species
UACGAAGGGUGCAAACGUUGCUCGGAAUCAUUGGGCGUAAAGCGCACGUAGGCGGCGCAGUAAGUCGGACGUGAAAUCCCUCGGCUCAACCGAGGACGUGCAUCCGAAACUACUGUGCUCGAGUAUGGAAGAGGGUCGCGGAAUUCUCGGUGUAGAGGUGAAAUUCGUAGAUAUCGGGAGGAACACCGGUGGCGAAAGCGGCUCUCUGGCCCGGUUCUGACGCUGAGGCGCGAAAGCCAGGGGAGCAAACGGG